rnacentral:rRNA from 1 species
GAGUACGGUCGCAAGAUUAAAACUCAAAGGAAUUGACGGGGACCCGCACAAGCGGUGGAUGAUGUGGAUUAAUUCGAUGCAACGCGAAAAACCUUACCUACCCUUGACAUGGCUGGAAUCCCCAAGAGAUUGGGGAGUGCUCGAAAGAGAACCAGUACACAGGUGCUGCAUGGCUGUCGUCAGCUCGUGUCGUGAGAUGUUGGGUUAAGUCCCGCAACGAGCGCAACCCUUGUCAUUAGUUGCUACGAAAGGGCACUCUAAUGAGACUGCCGGUGACAAACCGGAGGAAGGUGGGGAUGACGUCAAGUCCUCAUGGCCCUUAUGGGUAGGGCUUCACACGUCAUACAAUGGUACAUACAGAGCGCCGCCAACCCGCGAGGGGGAGCUAAUCGCAGAAAGUGUAUCGUAGUCCGGAUUGUAGUCUGCAACUCGACUGCAUGAAGUUGGAAUCGCUAGUAAUCGCGGAUCAGCAUGUCGCGGUGAAUACGUUCCCGGGUCUUGUACACACCGCCCGUCACACCAUGGGAGCGGGUUUUACCAGAAGUAGGUAGCUUAACCGCAAGGAGGGCGCUUACCACGGUAGGAUUCGUGACUGGGGUGAAGUCGUAACAAGGUAGCCGUAUCGGAAGGUGCGGCUGGAUCACCUCCUUU